AUUCAAUAUUCCAUUUCAGUUGGAAAUACGUCACUACACUGGAAUAAAGUCGGCAGCAACUUCGGCUUCACGUGGACUUUAACAGUGUGGGAACUGAACCGCAAGGAUUCAAAUACAAAUGUCCUCAAGGCAAUUUUAACUGAACAGCUGGACCAUUUUACCUGAAUGUUGUGCCGUGGCUCAAGAAGUCAUCUCGAGGCCCCUAUGGAAACUUGCUGAGGCCUCCUAGUGGGCCCUGAACCCCUGGCAGAGAUCCAAUUAUAUACAGGAUAAAGAUGAAGAGCAUUCACUUCAGAACGCAACGUGAAAUGUGUUGUCUUAAUCAACUGGACAAAUAGAGCCAUUUGUUUUGCCGCCCAUCCUCCCGAACACAUAAUCUCCUUUCCAGACUAGCAGUAGAGUUGGUGCAUAUAUCAUAUAUCACGAUCACAUGAGCCCUGCAUACUCCCACAAUGCACCCUGCCGGGUUUCUAAUUGGCUGAUGGGUUGUAAAGGUGACACUUCGCCCUUUCCACCCUCGCCCCUGCCCCCACCUCCAUGGGGGGAAGUGAUGCGUCGUCAUCUGACCUUGAGUGCCUUUGGCUGCAACCGAUUGGCUUGUGCUGGUGCGGAUGAGCAAAGUCAUCAAACAUUAAUGUGCAAAUCUAAUAAGCACACUGAGGUUCAGAGGGCUGGCGUGAAGCUUGAUCGUGAAACCGCAGCUCAGCAGAAGCCAGGCCCCGCCCCCUCUCUCACUAAAUCAAUCCGUCAAUCAAUGGGCCCGCAUUAUUCCACCAUCUUUCCGCCGCUUGCAAAAAUUAUACCGUGGCGGCAAAUUGUCUCUUAUAAAAGACCUGAGAGAUAUCAUGUGAAGAAUUGAUCAAUAAGGCCACGGAUGUUUUUUGAUUUUGCAUUAUGUGUUAGGCUACAAAAGAUUAGGUUUUUUUAUGGUUCAUUGAUGCAUUAUGAAGAAAAUGUUUGU